CCAUGAUUAGAUUAGUUGGUAGAGCGCUCCACUGGAAAUGGAGAGGUCCCGGGUUCGAUACCCGGACAAGGC
rnacentral:tRNA from 1 species